AGCUGGAUCAUUACCAGUUUUUAUUUGGGGGCCCGUCAAACCGGCCCUCGAAAGGAAAACAAAGUAUUCCCUAGCCCCGCAAGGGGCCUAAGGGGGAGCGAGUGGCGCCAGUGCGAUACUCCCCGCGGCCGUAAAACGCCGGUGAAGGGAGGAGCCGAUGAAACCCCCCAUUUUCAUUAAUGGGGGGGUUUUCACCCUUAUUUAAUGGGGGUGCCUAUUCAUACGGCACUUCACAGUGGAUCUCUUGGCUUGCGCAUUGAUGAAGACCGCGGCAAAAGGCGAUACUACCCAUGAAUUGCAGAACACCGCGAAUGGGACUGAUGUUGAAUGCAAACUGCUGCGUCGGGGUUUCGUAUCCCUUCGCAAUGUACGGCUCAGUGUUGUUCCAAACAAACACACCCCUACACAUUCAUUUGCAUGUGGGGGCGUGGGACACCAACACGUCCGCUUAUCCUCAAGUGGUUCUGGGCUUCGGCCUGGAGCUUCCAUGGGGUUUGACGAAGGUCAAAAGAUUAGAGUCUGGUUGUUUGUCUCUUGGUUCUUCCCUGGCUUCACCGCCGUGGGAGGGGGCUUUGGCUGCUGGUACUCCAAACUUGGUUUGGUCUUUCGAGGUAAGAACGGUUCACCCCAAUCUUGCGCUUCGGGAUCAAAUCAGGGCCGGCGGCCGUCCAUAAGCUUCUAGUGGCCAGGAGUAUUCAUCACCGCAAGGUGGUGGAGGCAUCCGACUUCGUACUUGGGAGGCCCUCACCGGCCGACCAUACAAUACCUUUUCGACCUGAGCUGUGCAAAAUUACGGGCUGAACUUAAGCAUAUCACUAAGCCCAGGAAAAGAAAGCAACUGCGAUGCCCUCAGUAACGGCGAGUGAACUGGGCAAAGCUCACCUCAGAAGCGAUGGGCCCUUUGGGGGUUUAUUGCAUUGUAAGGUGAACCGCCGGUUUUUUGGUGCAGGCUGUGCGAAAGUUGCCUGGAACGGCACACCGCAGAGCGUGAUAGUCGCGUAUCGUCCAUGGAACGCUGCAUCGAAAUGCUAAUCCGGGUCGGUAAGAGUCGGGCUGUUUGGGACUGCAGCUCUACGUGGGAGAUGUACCCCUCCUAAGGCUGGAGGCAAAUAUCGGCGCAAGACCGAUAGCGAACAAGUAGAGUGAUCGAAAGAUGAAAAGCACUUUGAGAAGAGAAUCAAAAGUACGUGAAACUGUGGAGUGGUAAGGGAUGUCAGCCCAUCGACUGCACCGGGGUCCCCGGACCUCGGGCACGCCAGGUCGAUUGAUGGCGGUCUUAUCGGCUGUGCCGAGCCUAGGGGCGGCUUGCUUCCCUUAGGUCUGCAUGGUGCUGAAGUGCCGUCUUGUCAAUCGUAAAGAAUGCAGGGGUCACCACUUUGCCUCAACUAGUGUCAUGUCGUGCGGCUAAGGUAGCGUAGAUCCUUUCGGGGGUGUGCCUAUCCGGUCACGCGGCCGGUCCUGGGGUGAUUUCGAUCCUCUGUCAGAUCCUGGUUAGAAUGGCUGUCAUUCACCCGUCUUGAAACACGGACCAAGGAGUCUAUCGUACCUGCGAGUCUUGUGGUGAUUGAAACCACGUCCUUGCGAGAAGGCGCAUUGAAAGAGACCACUUUCCAUCCCCUGAAGCCUUCAUGGUAAUGGGGUGCAGAAAGGCCCGCCCCUGAUCUAUCGGAAAAGGUGGUGAGGUGAAGCAUGUGCGAUGGGACCCGAAAGAUGGUGAUCUUUUCCUGAAUAGGGCGAAGGCGGGGGAAACCCUGCUGGAGGCUCGUAGCGCUACUGACGUGCAAAUCGUUCGUUAAAUUCGGGUAAAGGGGCGAAAGACUCAUCGAACUGUCUAGUAGCUGGUUCCCUC
rnacentral:misc_RNA from 1 species